rnacentral:misc_RNA from 1 species
UCCUGGUUAACCCAGGCAGUCUCGUUAGAGUUCCCACCAUUACGUGUUGGCAACUAACGAUAAGGGUUGCGCUCGUUGCGGGACUUAACCCAACACCUCACGGCACGAGCUGACGACAGCCAUGCAGCACCUGUGCAGAAGCCCCGAAGGGAGACGAUAUCUCUACCGUUGUCUUCUGCAUGUCAAGUCUGGGUAAGGUUCUUCGCGUUGCAUCGAAUUAAACCACAUGCUCCACUGCUUGUGCGGGUCCCCGUCAAUUCUUUUGAGUUUCACCCUUGCGAGUGUACUCCCCAGGCGGUAUACUUAACGCGUUCGCUACGGCACAGUCAGGGUUGAGUCCGACUACACCUAGUAUACAUAGUUUACGGCAAGGACUAC